rnacentral:rRNA from 1 species
GAUGAACGCUGGCGGCGUGCUUAACACAUGCAAGUCGAACGGAAAGGCUCCUGCUUGCAGGGGUACUCGAGUGGCGAACGGGGGAGUAACACGUGGGUGAUCUGCCCUGCACUUCGGGAUAAGCCUGGGAAACGGGGUCUAAUACCGGAUAGGACGAGGGUUUGGAGGCCAUUGUGGAAAGUUUUUGCGGUGUGGGGUGAGCUCGCGGCCUAUCAGCUUUUUGGUGGUGUAGUGGCCUAGGAAGGCGUCGGCGGGUAUCCGGCCUGAGAGGGGGUACAGGCACAUUGGGACUGAGAUACGGCCCAGACUCCUACGGGAGGCAGCAGUGGGGAAUCUUGCACAACGGGCGCAAGCCUGAUGCAGCGACGCCGGGUGGGGGAUGACGGCCUGCGGGUUGUAAACUCCUUUCGCUAGGGACGAAGCGCAAGUGACGGUACCUGGAGAAGAAGCACCGGCUAACUACGUG